rnacentral:rRNA from 1 species
GCACCCCAGUCACGCGGGGCUACCCG